rnacentral:siRNA from 1 species
CUUUUUGGUUAGGUGGCGUCU